rnacentral:rRNA from 1 species
GACGAGGGGUCCUAGCGUUGCUCGGAAUCAUUGGGCGUAAAGCGUACGUAGGUGGCUUUGUAAGUCAGGCGUGAAAGCCCUGGGCUCAACCCAGGAAGUGCGCUUGAUACUGCUUAGCUUGAGUGUAGGAGAGGUAAGUGGAAUACCUGGUGUAGUGGUGAAAUACGUAGAUAUCAGGUGGAACACCGGUGGCGAAGGCGGCUUACUGGCCUAACACUGACACUGAGGUCCGAAAGCGUGGGGAUCAAACAGG